AUGUGUUUCAUGACUACCAGGGAAUGGAAGCACGUGGAGAAUCGCACCUAUUUCCACGGGUCUGAGAAACCGUAUAAAAGCACUCGCAACCCCCUUGCUCCUCACACCACUCCUCUUGGUUUAGCCUCCUCGGUGAACUUGGUUUACCUCCCUCCACCACCCCCAAGAUGUCCUGCUACUACGUGUGCUGCUCCCCCUGCUACAGGUCCGUCAGUACCUCCUACCGGGCCUACAGGUGCUGCAGCCCCUGCUACAGCUACUGCUGCAGCCCUUGCUACAGCUACUGCUGCAGUCCCUGCUACAGCUCCUGCUACAGCCCCUGCAGCUACCGGAGCUGCUGCACCUGCUACUACUACCCAUCCUGCUGUAACUACAGCUAUGGGUGCUGCUAGACCUGAUAAACCCAGCAGGAACCUGCAGUGAGGAUCUACCCCGACCCGGCAAGCACAGACCGAUGGAUCAUCUCAGAGGCGACAUUUUCAGGAGUGCUGAGCCCCUGCGGCUGCAACUGAAGCUACCAAGAACGGAGAGCUUGGCUGCUCUCUAGAAUUUCUCUGCAUUUCUAUUUUUGCUGUACUUUCUGUCUCCUUGUUCCUGUGUUUCUCAGCUACGAGCUUACUCUUGAUAGUCUCCUGCAUUUAGACCCCUUUGGCAGCAAUAAGAACUAUCUGCAGUUCAUUUGAAGCUUCUUCCAGUUGCCACAGCAGCGUUAAAGAACUUCUGCAUCAGUGAAAAUUAGCUCUUGUGUCAUCUGCAUUUUCAAUAACUACUUCCAGUAAGGUGCUGCAGUACUGCGUAAUGGAGAAACAUGACGGCUGUGCCUCCUUUGAUCUGGAUUUACAAGUACCUUAAGAACGAGCAACACAGCUUUCACAAAAAGGAAUGUUCUGUAUAGCAUAGUGUAGUGACUCAUCUACUCUAGCUCUUUUCAGCAUGCCAAAACUAUAAUCUUUCUGUAUCUGUGUCAACUUCUUUUCUUAUUGCAUUAAAAUUUUUCUGUAUGGAAAAAAAAAAAUCAAAGUUCCAGUCUUCUUUCGCCUGUCCCUUGACUACAUGAAUA
rnacentral:lncRNA from 1 species